rnacentral:rRNA from 1 species
CGCCUGUUUAUCAAAAACAUGGCUCUCUGUAUAUUGAAGAUAGAGAGUCGGACCUGCCCGGUGAAUUUUUUAACGGCCGCGGUACUCUGACCGUGCAAAGGUAGCAGAAUCAUUUGCCUUAUAAUUGAAGGCUAGAAUGAAUGGUUUGACAAGAAUACAACUGUCUCUUUACAAUUACAUAAAAUUUUAUCUGCAGUUGAAGAAGCCUGCAUUUGAAUAAAAGACAAGAAGACCCUAUCGAGCUUAAAAAAAACUGGUGGAAUAACAAACUUAAUCCUAACUUAUAAAUAAAUAAAUAGUCAACUACUGGAAAUUUUGGUUGGGGCGACCGGGGAACAAAAAAAACUUCCUUUAUAAAAAUUUAGAUGCCCAAAUAUUGAUCCAGCAUUAUAUGAUUAAAGAAAUUAGUUACCGUAGGGAUAACAGCAUUAUCUUUUUUAAGAGUUCUUAUCGAAAAAAAGGUUUGUGACCUCGAUGUUGGACCAGAAUAUCCUAAAGAUGCAGCCGUCUUUAAGGGUUGGUCUGUUCGACCAUUAAAAUUCUACGUG